rnacentral:rRNA from 1 species
AAAUGCAUAGAAUUAUUGCUGCGGUUAAAAAGCUCGUAGUUGGAUCUGUGCUGGGAACUGGGUCCGCCUUCGGGUGUGCACUCAGCUUCCCGGCUUUUUGCUGGUUUUCCCGUUGUGGCCUUUACCGGUUGCAGCGGGUGGCUGGCGAGUUUACCUUGAAGAAAUCAAAGUGCUUAAUACAGGCGAUUUGCUUGAAUGUGGUGCAUGGAAUAAUAGAAAAGGAUUUCGGUUCUCUUUUAUUGGUUUUACGAGCUGAGAUAAUGGUUAACAGAGACAAACGGGGGCAUUCGUAUCGUUGCGUGAGAGGUGAAAUUCUUGGACCGCAGCGAGACGAACUACAG